rnacentral:rRNA from 1 species
CUCUUUCUCGAUUCCGUGGAAAGUGGUGCAUGGCCGUUUUUGGUUGGUGGAUCGAUCCGUCUGGUUAAUUCCGUUAACGAACGAGACCUCGGCACUCCGAAUAGCGCGGCGGACGUCGCGGCCUCCGGGCCGUCUUCCGCACGAGCUUCUUAGAGGGACCGUCCCCCGCCGGGGAAGGAGGUGCGAGGCAACGACAGGUCUGUGAUGCCCUUAGAUGUUCUGGGCCGCACGCGCAUUACACUGACGCGUCCAACGGGUGACUCCCGACCCGAAGGGGCCGGGGAAUCCGCAAGGCGCGUCGUGAUGGGGAUUGAACGUUGCAAUUGUUGUUCACGAACGAGGAAUUCCUAGUAGGCGCGGGUCAUCAACCCGCGCCGAUUACGUCCCUGCCCUUUGUACACACCG